AAGAAGUUGGGUUAGGUUACACGCACUUGUUUUUUUACGUUUCUGGUAACAUUUUAUGCUUUUCGAAUGAGAUUUUAAUGAAUGUAAAUGUUAGCUUUUAGCCAACUGAAAAUUGAAGUAGAUAAAAUCAGGAUACCAGUAUAUCAAUCUAAUAAUAAAAUCACAAAUAAUAUUCAGUAUUAAUUAUUCUCAAUAAUAUUUUUUUAAUAAUGUUAUAAUCAUUUGAAAUUUUUAAAAUAAGGACAUAAAGGGGCCUCAAAGAUUACUGUCACAAGAGUACUUUAGAAAUGAUUGGAUAUAGAUUUCAAAACUUUACCGAAGAGGAAUUUGAAACCAUGAAUAAGACAAUUCAACAUGCGAAGACAAAAUAUGAAAGAUCCAAAAAAUCAAUUAAAAUAUAAGUUUGCUUUUCCUUCUACAUACAUUUAAUGUUAUACUUUCCUUUUGUAUUUUGGAAUAAGAAAUAUAAAAUAAUGUUUAUACUGUACCUAUAUAUUUUGUAUUAUUUCAGACAUUCAACUUUAAGAUUUUUUUUAGAAAUUCGACUCGGAGGUCAGAGCUGAGUAAUUCCUUAUUUAGUGAGCAGCCGAAAAGAUAAGUUCUCAGUACUUGACAGUAUUUUUGAUAUUUUUGAAACAAGUAAGUGAUAAAUUUCUAAUUUUUAUUUGUUUUUUUUUCAAUUUGUUUGACAAAUUCGACUUUCUUGGUAGGGAUAUA